UACAGAGGGUGCAAGCGUUAAUCGGAAUUACUGGGCGUAAAGCGUGCGUAGACGGUUAUGUAAGUCAGGUGUGAAAGCCCCGGGCUCAACCUGGGAAUUGCAUUUGAGACUGCAUAGCUAGGGUGCGGAAGAGGGAAGCGGAAUUUCCGGUGUAGCGGUGAAAUGCGUAGAUAUCGGAAGGAACAUCAGUGGCGAAAGCGGCUUCCUGGUCCAGCACCGACUUUCAGGCACGAAAGCGUGGGGAGCAAACAGG
rnacentral:rRNA from 1 species